UUAAUUGAAGCCAAAUAGCGGCUUAUCACUGUUAAUGAUAGAACUGAGGGUUACCUCCGAUUAAG
rnacentral:tRNA from 1 species